UACGUAGGGUGCGAGCGUUGUCCGGAAUUACUGGGCGUAAAGAGCUCGUAGGUGGUUUGUCGCGUUGUUCGUGAAAACUCACAGCUCAACUGUGGGCGUGCGGGCGAUACGGGGCAGACUGGAGUACUGCAGGGGAGACUGGAAUUCCCGGUGUAGCGGUGAAAUGCGCAGAUAUCGGGAAGAACACCCGUGGCGAAGGCGGUUCUCUGGGGACGGUACUGACGCUCAUGCAC
rnacentral:rRNA from 1 species